CUUGCUUAAACUCUUCUUGUAGUUGAUAACAAACCUAUCCAAUUCCCAAAGAGUCUCUGCAUCAACACUAUCAAUGUCCACUUCAAUUUCAUCAUCAUGUUGGCAAAGUGAUGAAUUCCUCUUCUUUAUUAUCUGGAUAAUAUUGUCCAGCUUCUCUGAAGGUAAGCUCUGGAGGUUUGUGCUAAGCUUCUGCUUCUCCUCAUAAGUCAUGUCCCUCUUGUGUGGAUCCUUUGCCUUAGGCUUUUUUGGAGCAGGGGUUCUUCCUGAAGGAGUUGUACUAAUAGAUUUCGGUCUAAGAUCGCNAUUGAUUCUGAUCUAUCCAAAAUCCUCCGCAUAUAAAGAGGAGGGGGUGGCAGCGGAUGAGUCUUUCUUGAUGUUGGUGUAGGAAUACCCAGCUCAUAACUGGCAGCAAACCUCAACUCACGAUCAUAAUCUGACUUUAUAACAGCCCACCUUUCCUCAAACAUCUUCAG
rnacentral:misc_RNA from 1 species